UGUAAAUACAAUUGACGGACAUAGAAUCUAUGUAUACUGGGAUUCGACAUAAUAAUAUUAUUGAUCUAGAAACGAUUAUUCAUAAAUAACAUACAUGUAGGAUAAAAAACAGCAAAAUGGUAGUUUGUAGAGCAUGUAAUUUAGGUAGUUCGGCAACUGCUGAGUGGGUUUUAUUUGAUGAUAACAUAAUGCUAUACUUUAAUCUUCUUACCAAUCUGAAUGUACAUAUAGAUGAUGGAUUCUCACAACAUUUAUGUGAAACAUGUAACGAUAUCAUUCAUCAGUUUAUGGAAUUCCGUGCUAGGUGCAUUUCUAUUGAUUUUAACCUAAGAAAUAACCUCAUUUGUAAGUCUUUAUUUAAGGUGAAAAGUGAAUCGGAUAUUAUAAAUGAUGUCAAGCAGGAGAAUUUGGAAAAUGAAGGAGACAUAGCAAACUAUGAUAACUACAAUGGAUUAGAACAAAGUGAUGAAAUGUACAAAGAAGAAAUUGUUGAUGAUCAAAACUCUCAGUAUAAAAUACCAAGAAGACAAAGAAGACUCAAGACUGGUAAACAACAGCAUUCAAUAAAAGACAAUUCCAAGAAAGCAAAUCAAACCAACCAAACAACCAAAUGCAAAGUUAAAUGUAGUACAAAAGGAUAUAGUUGUGGUUUAUGCUUAGAAAGUUUUAACCAUGAUUUAGCCCAUAAGAAUCAUUUAGAGAUGCAUAAAAUUAGCAAUGACUGCUCAAUAUGCAAUAAAAAAUUUACAAACCAAUAUCAAACUUUAGCACAUAGAAUAAUACAUUUACCUAGCGAUGAAAGAAACUGUUAUAUGUGUCAUAAAAAGUUCCAUAAAGAACAUUACCUUGAAUACCAUUAUAAGAAAUACCAUUCCGAUGAAGCUAAUACCAAUAUAGAAUGUGGGCAAUGCAAACGCGAGUUUCGUAAUCCAAAAAACUUGACAAGACAUCUAUUAAAUGCUCAUAGCGAUGCGAGAGACAUAAUGAUUUGUGAUUUCUGUAAAAAAAUAUAUAACAGCAAAUAUAGAUUGAUUUUACACAUUAAUAUGCAUUUAAAUAGACGGCAAUGGAAAUGCAAGAAAUGUGAAUUUUCAACUAACUUUCGGUCCUCUCUUCGGGUUCAUGUUAUUAAUAGACAUACAAUAGGGAAAGUAAUUUGUAAAAUUUGCUCGAAAGCUUUCCCAAAUCAAGAACGUUUCGAAAACCACAAAUGUAAACCGCGCGAUGGCGACGAUAUUUGCCCCAUUUGCGGAAAAUCCGGCAUUAAAAGACUGCAAAGACAUAUACACAGCCACACUACGGACCGGAAAUUUAAAUGCGACCGCUGUCCCGCCGCGUACAAAUCCCGAACGGCACUUCGUGUCCAUAUUGAUUCUCAUGAUGGUUUACGACGGCUUAAAUGCGAAUACUGUCCGAUGACAUUUCGCAGUGGUCCAGUUCUCAUUAAGCAUAGACGUACGCACACAGGUAGGUAUUGAGGUAUAGACAAACCAAGGCACUUAUUAUUUUACUUUUCAUUUCAUAAAAACACCAAUAGAAUUGUAACUAGGCAACCACUAUUAGAAAAAGUGAGAUUAUUGCAAAAUUAUAAUUAACAUCUAAAGAAAUUAGACAUAAACGAAUAAACAAAACGAAUCAUCAUUAAUUCAAGUACACUUUCGUCCUUUCUGUCAAUUUAUUUUUAAGCUCUGAUGACAAAACCCAUGGACAAGGAGAGCCUCUCAGAGUAUUUCGUAAGAUGCAGUUCAGCAAACUGAGUGAUUAACAUCUUAUACUAAAU